AUGGUGACCCAGAUGAGCAAGCAGAGAAAGUUUGUUGCAGAUGGUGUUUUCUUUGCUGAAUUGAUUGAGGUUCUGACCCGUGAACUCGCUGAAGAUGGUUACUCUAGUGUCGAGUUUAGGGUUACGCUGAUGAGGACUGAAAUCAUCAUCAGGGCUACUCGUACACAAGCUGUUGUCGGUGAGAAGGGAAGGAGGAUCAGAGAGAUUACCUUUGUGGUUCAGAAGAGGUUUAAGUUUCUAGAGAACAGUGUUGAGCUUUAUGCUGAAAAGCUUAACAAUAGAGGACUAUGUGCUAUCACUCAAGUUGAAUAA